GCUCGCCCACGGCCCGUCCCUGCAGCCGGUCGGUGUCGUCACAGCCACCGAGCUCACCUCUUCAGCUCUUCUCUAAGGACCACAGCCUCUGCUCAACUGCUUCGGUCACCUCGCCGCUGUCCCUUACUGAGCUCACGUCAGCGUCACUCCCACUUCUCUCCUCUCCGUCACUGUCCUUGCUGUCACUCUCCUCGCCAGCUCGCCUCUCCCGUUUACAGUCUCUGGUCUCUGCUUGCCUCUCCCUCAUCGUCUCUCCGCUAACUGGUUUGUUAAAUGGUGGAAGAACAAGAAUAAUAAUUGAAGACUCUUUUGAUGCAAUUUCUUUAUUAUGCUGUUAAAUUUAUAGUGAUUAAACAUUAAUCUUUUUUUAAUUUCAAGUUAUUUGACAUUGUAUGAAUCUUAUGUUUGUAUUUUAAUUUAGUUAUGAAUUUUAAGUUUUUAU